rnacentral:rRNA from 1 species
ACGGAAGGCAGCAGUGGGGAGUAUUGCACAAUGGGGGAAACCCUGAUGCAGCGAUGCCGCGUGGAGGAAGAAGGUUUUCGGAUUGUAAACUCCUGUCUUAAAGGACGAUAAUGACGGUACUUUAGGAGGAAGCUCCGGCUAACUACGUGCCAGCAGCCGCGGUAAUACGUAGGGAGCGAGCGUUGUCCGGAAUUACUGGGUGUAAAGGGAGCGUAGGCGGGAUUGCAAGUCAGAUGUGAAAUACAGGGGCUCAACCUCUGGGCUGCAUUUGAAACUGUAUCUCUUGAGUGUCGGAGAGGUAGAUGGAAUUCCUAGUGUAGCGGUGAAAUGCGUAGAUAUUAGGAGGAACACCAGUGGCGAAGGCGAUCUACUGGACGAUAACUGACGCUGAGGCGCGAAAGCGUGGGGAGCAAACAGGAUUAGAUACCCUGGUA